AUGGCCGGGCGGACACCACUAACCAACGCGGGGGCUGCGACGGAGGCUGACGCCUACGAGCCGUACGUGGCAUUGAAGCAGCUGCGCACUUACAUCUUCACCGAGCUCCUCCCCGCCUUCCCCGCCCUCGACAACAGGCGGCUCACCGCCCUCCUCUCCUCCGACGGUGUCGACCGCAUCAGCCUCCUCCCCGACGCGCUCCUACGCAACAUCGUCUCCCGCCUCCCCAUCACGGAUGCCGCGCGCACCGCCGUUAUCGCCUCGCGCUGGCGCCGGGUCUGGCUAUCUACCCCCUCACGCUAA
rnacentral:rRNA from 1 species